rnacentral:rRNA from 1 species
UAGUCCACGCCGUAAACGAUGUGCACUAGAUCGUGGGGGCUCUGACGCCACUCAUGGUCGAAGCGAAAGUGUUUAGUGCACCGCCUGGGGACUACGGUCGCAAGGCUAAAACUCAAAGGAAUUGACGGGGGCUCACACAAGCGGUGGAGCAUGUGGCUUAAUUCGAAGCAACGCGAAGAACCUUAUCCUGGAUUUGACAUGUAUGGAUUAACUCCCUGAAAGGGGAGCCACGCCCUUUGGGUGGAACAUACACAGGUGCUGCAUGGCUGUCGUCAGCUCGUGCUGUGAAGUGUCGGGUUAAGUCCCUUAACGAGCGAAACCCCUGUCGCUAGUUGCCAUCAGGUAAUGCUGGGGACUCUAGCGAGACCGCCGGCGUCAAGUCGGAGGAAGGUGGGGAUGACGUCAAGUCCGCAUGGCCUUUAUGUCCAGGGCUGCACACGUGCUACAAUGGCUGGUACAGAACGAAGCAAUACCGCGAGGUGGAGCAAAUCGCUAAAGCC